rnacentral:sRNA from 1 species
CUUAUGUUUAUUUCUUUU